rnacentral:misc_RNA from 1 species
AUUAAACUUCAGAAAAUUCUUUCAAAAAAUUUUCAUUCAUUUCUAAAUUUUCAGCCCUUUUAGCUGUAUCUAAAUUUCAAGUGAACUUAUUUUCUUUAAAAAGUUAAAAAAAAUUUAAAAAACACGUCUCAAAAUGUGCGACCCUUGCUGCUCUCCCUGCGGACCGUGUCCAUCGCCUUGCGGCCCAUGUGGGCCGUGCGGGCCCUGUAGCCCCUGCGAUCCAUGCUGUGCACCGUUUGAGUGCUCGCCAAAAUGCUAUACAGGCGCCCAUUUGGACGCGCUGCCGCAGUGUGCGCCACGCGUACCGCCGCCAUGCCCGAAAUGCAUAACAGUACAACAACCGCCACGACUCAUCUGUCGCAAGCGUGUCGUCUUCAAUGAGAAAAUAGUACCGGAACCGAUGGUUGUUAAUCGAUGUCGCCAAAUAACCAUACCCAAAGUUGUGGAUACAACACGUGUCAUAAAAGUACCCAAGCUAACGUGGGUCUCACAGAUGGUCCGCGAGCCAAGGGUCAUCUACUAUCCGUCGAUGGUGCCCGAUCCCUAUGUGGUUUGCUAUCCGAAACGUAUAUGCGAACCGCGCGAAGUAUGCCAAGCGAUAUUAUGCCAGCCGAAGCCGCAAACAAUUGAUAUACCGCCGCCACGUGAAUAUUGUUGCUAUCCCACCGGACCGAUUAAUUACAAGCCGAGCGUAGCAUGUCCACCAUGUCCAAUGGGACCGUGCUCACCGUGCGGACCUUGCGGUGCAUUGCCAUGCUUUUCGACCAAUCAAUAUCCGAUUUGUGAACCGAGCGGAUGCUUCCCGUGCAAGCCGUCUGGACCUUGCGGUCCUUGUGGACCUUGCUCGCCGUGCCGCGGACCUUGCGGCCCUUGUGGACCUAGUGGCCCUUGCGGACCGUGCAGCCCUUGCGGACCUUGUGGACCAUGUGGACCAUGCGGCCCAUGUGGUCCGUGCGGACCUUGUGGACCUUGCGCCUAGAGCGUGUCGUAGUCGCGAAUUGCGUUGUGGAAUUAUGUACACUACCUGCGACUGUAUCAAAAGAAAUGGCUUGCAAGACCGAUGUCCGCGAUCGCUUUGCCAGGGGCGUGCUGCAUGUAUGUGCUUCCCCGUUCCGAAUUGCUGUCCAGCCUCGUUUCCACUGCGCUAUGCCAAUAUGACAAUGGGUGUGAAUAAUAGACGAAUGCGUUGCAAGGAAACCGCCGCAUUAUGUGCGCGAGCCUGUGGUGGUUGUGCACCGUGUGGCCCAUCAUGUGGACCUUGUGGUCCUUGUGGUCCCUGUGGGCCGUCAUGUUCUCCGUGUUGUGAUACUGCUUGUUGUGGUGCAUCGAAUCCACCAUGUGGUGCACCAGCUCCGAUACCAUGUCCACCGGCACCAGGCUGUUGUCCACCAAUUGUGGAAGCUGGUGUCCCAAAUCCGUGUGUGUGGAAUUGUAAUAAUACGCCUCCAACAUAUCCAUGUGGUUUUUAAAUAUUAUUCUAAGGAAGGAAGCUAAGGCAGAUUACUUUUACGACUGAUAAAGGAUACUGACAACAAUACAUUAUUGUUGUUGUGUAAUGAAUCCACCAUAACUCGCGCGAAGGCAUCGAAAUGGAAACGUUUUGGACGCUGCAGUCCCAUUAUAAAUGUAUAUACAUAUCCGAAAAAUUCCACAAAUACGAGAGAUUCCAACGAGAACACGUUAACAUAAAAUGCGUACGCAAAGAGAAAAGUACGAUGUCAAACGAAGAAAAGACCGAAAGAGAGCAAGAAAAAAAGGAAGUGAGGAGUUUCAUUAAAUUCAGUGCGAGACAUCCUUUUCACGUUUAAGUACUUUGACAAACUUUCGAAAAUUUUUGUUUUUCUUUUUUAAUAAAAGCUUGGUAGUGGCUAUUUUUAUUAAAACUCUAA